rnacentral:lncRNA from 1 species
UUUCCAGAAAAGGUGGGCCUGGUUUCUCAAGCCUAGUCAUUUUUAAUAGCUUGAGCAAUAGCAAUGGUUUGGAACAGAAUAGAUACAUCUCUAUUGAAACUCCAGAAGUUCAAUAUCUCCCGGGAACCUAUGUUGCUCGGACUCUUCAAAAAUGCCAACGGAUGCGUGUCGGAUUCGCCAAAAGUAGUGUAUUUUUGGAGAAUCCGAGACGGGUGCGGCAUCAAAAGUGAAGAGUCGGCGCAACUAAGCCGGGAGCAGAGUCAGCAACCAUGCAGAUUAGAAAUCUAUCGAUAAUUGAGGAGAGGGAGACAACAAAUGUGUGGAUAGAAGGUGUGUCAGGAAAAGUAACAGUAGAAGUUGAGCAGCAAUUAAUAGAACAGCUGACAGGGAGUUAGGGGAGAAAGAGACCGACAAUAUCGAAAAUAGAUUAAUUGAGGCUGGGAGAGAAACUUACUUACUAUAGUAGGGGAAUGGGAUAUUGAGGAGGCAGAACCACUGCAAGUCCAGCAACAACAAUCGAUAAUAUGCAAGGGAAGAGAAACAUCAUUGUGGGUGAAGCAGAAUAUGAUCAAACUAGGCAAAGUUCUUAGAGCAGAUUUUCAAGGACUUGAAGAAGAAGCUCUGGAACUACUUCUACAGGUUGAUAGUUCUCGACAAGCCAGAAGAAUGGAGAAUGUGAAUUUCUGUAAGAAGACAAGAUUUAGAGGUUCUCAAGAGCUAAAAAGUCUUGUGUCUUUUGAUGUCAAAUUCAAAAACAAUGGGGAUAGGAGCAAGGGGAGAAGUGAAACAAGCAGUAAUUGAUGAAGUUCAAACUUGUCUCAUGGAAUGUUACGGGGUUGAACAAUACGGAUAAAGGAGAUUGGUUAAGAUUUUAGUGAUAGAAUGGAAUGUAGACAUUAUUUGUCUGCAAGAAACUAAACUAGAGGGGAAUUUAUAUGAGGAGGUGAAACAAAUUUGGGGAGGUCGAUGGGUUAGAUUUGCUUGCUUAGAAGCUAGUGGCACCAGAGGGGGUAUACUGUUGCUACGGGACAGCAAGGCAUGGAAGGGAGAAAUCAUGGAAAUAGGUGCUUACUCAUAACCUGCAAAUUUGAGGCACAAUUGCAAGACUUCUCUUGUCAUAUCACUGGGGUAUAUGCUCCUAACUGCUACAUAGAAAGAAGAUUUGGUAUGGGAGGAGAUAGGGGCAGUAAGGGGUCUGAUGGAAGGUCCUUGGGUAGUAUGUGGG